GCUGCGCAGUCAUAUCACCCUGUAGCCCAAGACUGGUUGCCCACUGAAGCUAAGCAGGGUUGAGCUGGUCAGUACCUAGAUGCGAGACCUGUUGGAAGAGGUGUUAGUGAGGCCAGCA
rnacentral:rRNA from 1 species